ACAAAAGAUCGACGAAAAAAAACAGAACGAUACUCUCAAUUAGGGUUCUUUACUCUCGGAGAAAUCUCUCUACUUUUUUCAUUGUUCAGAUCAAGAUCAAGAUUUAAAUCGUUUAAUGAUUCAUCAUGCAAUCAAUGGUGAAAUAGUAUGCACAGAGAUGAAUAUGAUCAGUAAUAAUAGAGAUCGAAGAUGUGAGUUGAAGAUCAGUCUCGAUUGGGGUGAUGUGGGAUGUAAUAACAUAGAAGCAACCGGAUUAAGCACAAAAUGGAUCAUAACAUGAUCAAGAUAAGGAAGAUUAAAACCACAAUCAAGGAUAUAUAACAGAAAGGUAACAGCUUAUUUCUCUGUUUUGUAUAAAUAUAGAUUUGAUUAGAUCCUAUUUGAUCUCUGUUUCUACUAUGGUUUAAGUAUGAUUAAAUUUCUGAACUGGAACUUUGAUCUCACUGUAUUUAGUGUUCUGUUUUGAUAAAGAGCUAGUGUCGGGUAUAUAUAUAUGGAACCGUAUUUUGAUCAGAAAGUAUGAUCUGUUUUUUUCUCUUUAAUUGUUAUAUGUGUCGUCUUGCUUCUGUUAUCAUAGUUGAGCAAUCAUUGUUUUAGUAUAGUAGGUGUUGUGCGUAAAGAUCUUAAAGUGUGAUGAGCUUAUUAUAAUUUGAUUGAGUUUAUUAUCAUUGUGGAAUAUCACUGUAAUCGUUUCUCUGUGAUUGUAUUCUUAUAGUAACGGACGUUAGUGAUAAAACAAAAAUAUUUUUGUAUUAGUAUCUGGUGUGAUAUAGUUUUCAAUAUAUCCUUUCGUGCAUAGCUAAAUUGUAUUAAAUUUUUGUCAUUUGGUUUCAUGAUAUAUACAAUGGUGGAGAGACACAGAAAAAACAAAGGUUUACAACCGAAGAAGAGCAUUACCAUACUUCUGAAAAGAAGGAGUCAAACGUGAAUGGCCAGAAGGUUUAUCAGGAUCGCCUCUUUUUUUCUUCAUAACUGGUGAUUAAUAAAGACAAUGAAGGUGAGCAUUAUGGAAUUACGGCUGGAACUCACAUAUUUACAUGUUAGCGGUAGAAGUGGCCUGUGGUUUCUGCUUCUUCACUUUCUGAGCUUCCUGCUUCUUCACUCUCUGGAUGUCUGAGGUACGGCUUGGCGGUGUAUAAGGUAUGUAUCUAAUUUCUAAGAUACGAUGAAAUUUAAAUAUAGUUAUUAGAGAUAAUGGUAUUUGCUUAAACUUAGAAUUUGCUAA